rnacentral:rRNA from 1 species
AUUGAACGCUGGCGGCAUGCUUUACACAUGCAAGUCGAACGGCAGCGCGGGCUUCGUCCUGCCCUCGAGUUGCGAACGGGUGAGUAAUUCAUCCGUACGUGCCCUGUAUUUGGGGAUAGCCCGACUACAGCCGGAUUAAUACCGCAUACGACCUUAUGGUGAACGCCGGGGUCCGAAAGGCCUCGCGCUAUUUGAUCUCCCGUUGUCGGAUUAGCUAGUUGGUUGGGUAAAGGCUUACCAAGGCGACGAUCCGUAGCUGGUCUGAGAGGACGACCAGCCACACUGGGACUGAGACACGGCCCAGACUCCUACGGGAGGCAGCAGUGGGGAAUUUUGGACAAUGGGGGCAAGCCUGAUCCAGCCAUGCCGCGUGAGGGAAGAAGGCCUUCGGGUUGUAAACCGCUUUUGUUAGGGAAGAAAUCCUCUGGGCUAAUACCCCGGGGGGAUGACGGUACCGGAAGAAUAAGCACCGGCUAACUACGUG